rnacentral:rRNA from 1 species
CCCUUAGAUGUUCUGGGCGGCCCGCGCACUACAAUGGCGCUUUCAGCGAGUUCCUAUGUUGAAUUUUCCUGGGUAUUCUUGGAAGCGGCGUCUUGACUUGGGAUAGAUCCUUGUAAUUGUUGGUUUUGAACGAGGAAUUCCUUGUAAUCGCGGUUGAUCAGCUCGCGUUGAAUACGUCCCUGCCCUUUGUACACACCGCCCGUCGCUCCUACCGAUUGAAUGCUCAGGUGAGCCAUUCGGACUUUCAUCAUGCUGGUUUCCAGUUUUGAUGAAGGAAAGUCUUGCGAACCUUAUCAUUUAGAGGAAGGAGAAGUCGUAACA